UACAGAGGGUGCAAGCGUUGCUCGGAUUUACUGGGCGUAAAGCGUACGCAGACGGCGAGACAGGUCGGACGUGAAAGCCCCGGGCUCAACCCGGGAAAUGCGUCCGAAACCGUCUCACUUGAGUAUGGGAGAGGGAAGCGGAAUUCCUGGUGUAGAGGUGAAAUUCGUAGAUAUCAGGAGGAACACCGGCGGCGAAGGCGGCUUCCUGGCCCAUUACUGACGUUCAGGUACGAAAGCGUGGGUAGCAAACAGG
rnacentral:rRNA from 1 species